UUUAAAACAGGGCUGUCCAAGCUGCGGCUCCCCAGAUGUUGCUGAACUACAACUCCCAUGAUUCCCUGGCUAUCUUUUUAAUUGAAAGAAUCAUGGGAGUUGUAGUUCAGCAAAUUUUGGGGGGCCGCAGGUUGGACAGCCCUGAUUUAAA